rnacentral:rRNA from 1 species
AGGACGAACGCUGGCGGCGUGCUUAACACAUGCAAGUGGUGCGACGAACCAGGGCUUGCCCUGGGGCAAAGCCGCGAACGGGUGAGUAACACGUGAGUAACCUGCCCCGAUGACCGGGACAACCCGAGGAAACUCGGGCUAAUACCGGAUGUGGCGCACAGGCGUAAGCCCGUUCGCUAAAGGAAGCUUCGGCCUCCGCAUUGGGAGGGGCUCGCGGCCCAUUAGCUUGUUGGUGAGGUAACGGCUCACCAAGGCAACGAUGGGUAGCUGGUCUGAGAGGACGAUCAGCCACACUGGGACUGAGACACGGCCCAGACUCCUACGGGAGGCAGCAGUGGGGAAUCUUGCGCAAUGCGCGAAAGCGUGACGCAGCAACGCCGCGUGGGGGAAGAAGGCCUUCGGGUUGUAAACCCUUUCAGCAGGGACGAAUCUGACGGUACCUGCAGAAGAAGCCCGGCCAACUACGUGCCAGCAGCCGC